GUGGCUGUGGCUCAGUGGUAGAGUACUUACUUUCCUAGCAUGUGUGAGGCACUGGGUUCGAUUCUCAGCACCACA
rnacentral:tRNA from 1 species